GGCUGGUAUAGCUCAAUCGGUAGAGCAUGAGACUCUUAAUCUCAAGGUCAUUGGUUCAAGCCCCAAGUUGGGCA